rnacentral:rRNA from 1 species
UACGUAGGGUGCAAGCGUUGUCCGGAAUUAUUGGGCGUAAAGAGCUUGUAGGCGGUCUGUCGCGUCUGCUGUGAAAAUCCGGGGCUCAACCCCGGACUUGCAGUGGGUACGGGCAGACUAGAGUGUGGUAGGGGAGACUGGAAGUUCCUGGUGUAGCGGUGAAAUGCGCAGAUAUCAGGAGGAACACCGGUGGCGAAGGCGGGUCUCUGGGCCGAUACUGACGCUGAGGAGCGAAAGCGUGGGGAGCGAACAGG